rnacentral:lncRNA from 1 species
CCCCAAAUCGAAUCACAAAAUCAAAAGGGGAUUUCUUCGAACCCCAAAUCAAAUUGCAAAAUCAAAAAGGGAUUUCUUCGGACCCCAAAUCGAAUUGCAAAAUCAAAAAAGGAUUUCCUCGGACCCGAAAUAGAAUUGAAAAGAAAACCAAGUCCACAAAUAAAAAACCAAACCCAAAGCCCAAAUCAAGUCCACAAAUAAAAAAUCAAAUCCAAAACCCAAAUCAAGUUCACAAAUAAAACCCGAAUCCAAAUCCAAACCAAGUCCACAUAAGAACCCAAACCCAAAUCAAGUCCACAAAUAAAAAACCAAACCCAAAACCCAAAUCAAGUCCACAAAUAAAAAACCAAAUCCAAAACCCAAAUCAAGUCCACAAAUAAAACCCGAAUCCAAAUCCAAACCGGGUUCUCAAAUCACGUCCACAAAUAAAAAACAAAACCCAAAACCCAAAUCAAGUCCACAAAUAAAAAACCAAAUCCAAAACCCAAAUCAAGUCCACAAAUAAAACCCGAAUCCAAAUCCAAACCAAGUCCACAUAAGGACCCAAAUCCAAAUCAAGUUCACAAAUCCAAAUCCAAACCCAAAAUCGAAACCUAAACCUAAACCCAAAUCCAAUCAAGUCCACAUAAAAGCCCCGAAACCUACAAAAUCUAAACUCAGAUCCAAUUUAGUCCACAAAUAAAUCCAAACUCAAAUCCAAUCCGGACCACAAAUAUAACCCAAACCCAACUUCCAACUUGGACUUAUGAACCCAAAUUUCUUGAAUCAUGAACCAAAUCUUAUACCCAAGGUCAUGAAUCAAAAACCCAAGUUCAUGAACCAAAUCUCAUGAACUGUAAACCAAACCUCAUGAACCAAAUCCCAUAGACCAUGAACCAAACCUCAAAGCUCAUGAACCAUAAACCAAGUUCAUGAACCAAAUGAAUCAAGUUCAUGAAUCAUGAACCAAGUCCAUAAACCAAGUUCAUGAACCAAAUGAAUCAAGUUUAUGAACCAUAAACCAAAUUCAUAUACCCAACCUUAUGAACCACGACCCAAGUUCAUGAACCAUGAACCAAGUCCAUAAACCAAGUUCAUGAACCAUGAACAAAGUCCAUGUCACGCAGGGGUACCAGCGGAAGCAUAUCCGGUACGUGAACAGACCCGCCAUACACCUGCAGUAUAUAAGGCGUCUACAAACAAGCAAGUCGAUAGGAAGAAGAUCAUAGAAAAUUCUAUCCUGAUAUCAA